UUGAUUUUAGAAACAUUGUUGACAUUGUAGACUGUCCUUCUGAACUGGGGAUCCUCACAAUCUCAACUCGGAGAGUCUGAGACUUAAAACCAGUUCUCCAUGGAAGAUGUAUCAUCAUCAUCAUUAUCAUCUUCAAGUAUUAUAGUGGAAGAGUGGAAUGGGUCAUCUUCCAUCAAGCUCUCUAAAACUGCCACUGUUACAGCCUCUCCUUCACUCUCCAUCCUAAGAUCCAGUAGCCGUUUCCAACAUAUUUGGAGGCGAAUUCUUGAAGCGUUUGUACCAGAGGGUUUUCCAACUAGUGUUACUCCAGAUUAUGUCCGUUUUCAAGUCUGGGAUUUAUUGCAGGGCCUUUCAACUUAUAUAAGGACCAUGCUUUCUACUCAAGCUCUGCUCAGUGCAAUUGGGGUUGGUGAGAAAUCGGCCACUGUGAUUGGUGCCACUUUUCAGUGGUUUUUGAGGGACUUAACCGGAAUGGUUGGAGGUAUUUUAUUCACAUUCUACCAGGGCUCAAAUCUAGAUAGCAAUGCAAAAAUGUGGCGCCUAGUUGCAGAUCUCAUGAAUGAUCUUGGAAUGUUGAUGGAUCUCAUUUCUCCUCUUUAUCCUUCGGCAUUUGUGUAUGUGGUUUGUUUAGGGAGCCUAUCAAGAUCAUUCACCGGUGUCGCAAGUGGAGCCACUAGAGCUGCUUUGACACAACAUUUUGCUCUUCAGAACAAUGCUGCAGAUAUAUCUGCCAAGGAAGGAAGUCAAGAGACAGUAGCAACAAUGAUUGGCAUGGCACUGGGUAUGCUUUUUGCCCGUGCCACUACAGGGCACCCACUUGCUAUUUGGUUUUGUUUCCUGUCUCUCACCUUCUUCCAUAUGUAUGCAAAUUACAAAGCUGUGCAGUGCCUUGCUCUAACUUCAUUAAACCCUCAAAGGAGCUCAAUUGUUUUGCAACAUUUCAUGGAGACCGGCCAAGUUCUCACUCCUAAACAGGUAUCUAGGAUGGAGCAUAUAUUACCUGUAUGGGCAUUUUCGCCGAGCUUGAAGAAUUCUAAGUUAAUAUAUAAGCGAAUACGCUUAGGUGUGAGGGUUUCUUCACUCAAUCACCUGGAACUGACGGACCUGUUGCACAAUGCGGGAUCUCAUUAUAGAAAAGCUAAGUACUUGUUAGUGGAGACAAAAGGAACUAUCAAAGUUAUUGUGCAUAAAAAUUCUAUUGCAGCUGAUGUUUUGCAGUCAUUUGUUCAUGCUCAUGUUAUGGCAUCUCUUAUGGAUAAAAGCAGAUCUUUGCAAACUGAAAGCCAAUCAUGGAUGGAUAGACAGUAUGAAACUUUUCUUCAGAAGCUAAAGUCAUCGGGUUGGAAAACAGAACGACUUCUAUCACCUUCAAUCAUGUGGAAGGCAAAUUGGAUUUCUGGACCUAUGGAUGAAAAGAUUGAUUAGAUAAUAUUUAAUCUAUCACAUAAUAAUCUUAAAGGGAGGUGAAAUUGGUAGCUGGAUUGACAACAAGGCCAUUGAUUGAAUCUUGGUGCUUCAAAGGGAGAAUGUUGUUUAGACAUGGAACAACAUAAGCCUUCAAACAGUCUUUCUUAUUUAUACCUUCUGUUGUUCAAACUCCAUCGUUGAACAUAAAUAAUCUGAAUUCUUGAUAUUCACACAAGUUGAGCAGAAUUCAAGGAGGUGACGAACGGAAUGAGGUCAAAAUACAUAUUUUGGAAAUUCAGAUUAUGGAAACAAUAUGACUGUUUUGGUUUUGGAAUAUUUGGAAGCACCUAAUAAAUAUUGUACAUCUCAACCAAUCAGCUGCACCACUUGCCUGGUGUGUACAAAAUUUAUUGUCUGUAUUUAUAAUUGAAUACUUCAUACAAUUGUAAAGACAAUCAUUGCAGGCGAUUACUCA